UACGUAGGGGCCUAGCGUUGUCCGGAAUCAUUGGGCGUAAAGAGCUCGUAGGCGGUUCGGCAAGUCACGUGUGAAAUCUCCACGCUUAACGUGGAGGCGCCACGUGAAACUGCCGUGACUCGAGUCCGGGUAGGGGAGUGUGGAAUUCCGGUGUAGCGGUGAAAUGCGUAGAGAUGUGGAGGAACACCUGUGGCGAAGGCGCCUUGCUGGCCGAUUUCUGACGCUGAGGCGCGAAAGCGUGGGGAGCGAACAGG
rnacentral:rRNA from 1 species